rnacentral:lncRNA from 1 species
AUAAAAACAAGAAGAAGAUAUUAAAGAGACAUUUUGUGCCAGGACAUCAUGGUAGUGCUGGACUGCCUAUCCAACUCUGUAUAAAGGUUUUUCAAACAAUUUGUGAGGAGUGUUCGUAUCUCCAGAGUCUUCUGCUUCAGCAGAGAGUAGUGCAUUAACUAAUGGAAAAGAGAAGAUAAAAGUUCUGGUGCUCAUGAUGACUAGUCCGAACCUGCAAACUGCUGAGAAAAUUUACAUUCCUGAAAACUAGAGGUGGUUGCCGAAUUGAAUAGCCGUUGGUUCUACAGCCACUAUAAUGAUCUGAAAAGUUGAAUAUUUUUCAUGAACACUUUCAGGAAUCAUAAUAGAACUCAACUAAUUAGAUAGAGACUGGAAUGUUGAUUUGAAGACAAUUACUUUUAUAAAGAUUUUCUCAUUGCUGCUUUUGCAUUAACCCAAGAAGUGGAGAUAUUACUACAUGGAGAAGAACUGUAUGAUUGAAUUGACUUUGGAAUCGUCUCAGUGUUGUCAUAAAAUAUUCACUGUAUGUAGUCAAUUUUUUCCUCAGAGUUGAUGAUUACAAAUACUUGUCAAGUUGGAAAAAUUCACUUUUACUUUUAUUUGCAUCACACUUACUAGAUUAGAGACUAGAUUGCUUUAAAUUGAGUCUUCAUUUACAACCUCAAGGAAUUUUCCAGUACCUGUAAUUUCUUCACUCUUUUCUCUGCCUUAAAUUCAAUUAGACAGCUGGUUUUUAAGAGCGACUUGAGUAUUCUGG